rnacentral:rRNA from 1 species
GUCCAUGCCGUAAACGGUGGGCGCUAGGUGUAGGGGACUUCCACGUCUUCUGUGCCGCAGCUAACGCAUUAAGCGCCCCGCCUGGGGAGUACGGCCGCAAGGCUAAAACUCAAAGGAAUUGACGGGGCCCGCACAAGCGGCGGAGCAUGUGGAUUAAUUCGAUGCAACGCGAAGAACCUUACCUGGGCUUGACAUACACCAGAUCGCUGCAGAGAUGUAGCUUCCCUUGUGGCUGGUGUACAGGUGGUGCAUGGUUGUCGU